rnacentral:rRNA from 1 species
GACGAACGCUGGCGGCGUGCCUAAUACAUGCAAGUCGAACGCUUCUUUCCUCCCGAGUGCUUGCACUCAAUUGGAAAGAGGAGUGGCGGACGGGUGAGUAACACGUGGGUAACCUACCCAUCAGAGGGGGAUAACACUUGGAAACAGGUGCUAAUACCGCAUAACAGUUUAUGCCGCAUGGCAUAAGAGUGAAAGGCGCUUUCGGGUGUCGCUGAUGGAUGGACCCGCGGUGCAUUAGCUAGUUGGUGAGGUAACGGCUCACCAAGGCCACGAUGCAUAGCCGACCUGAGAGGGUGAUCGGCCACACUGGGACUGAGACACGGCCCAGACUCCUACGGGAGGCAGCAGUAGGGAAUCUUCGGCAAUGGACGAAGGUCUGACCGAGCAACGCCGCGUGAGUGAAGAAGGUUUUCGGAUCGUAAAACUCUGUUGUUAGAGAAGAACAAGGACGUUAGUAACUGAACGUCCCCUGACGGUAUCUAACCAGAAAGCCACGGCUAACUACGUG